rnacentral:lncRNA from 1 species
AAGAAUAUUUGUUAAAAGAAACAUUUACUGAAUCGGCCGACAAUGGUUUGAUAGAUUGGUGUUCUGAAGGUACUGCUAAUGAUGAGGUCCCACCUGGUUUAGAUAAUUCGGAUGUUAUGAUGGUCAAUGAUAAGUGCUGAAUAAUUUAUAAUUUAGUUAUCUUUUCAUAGCACUUAUCAAUGUUCUUAAACUAAUAAAUACAUACUUUACCAUAAAAUUGAAUAAACAUUGAAAUAAAUUUAAAAUAUGGUAAGAGGUAAAUAAUUCUUUUCUCAAAACAGACUUUGAACUUGUCUCUCUCCUGGUUGUAA